rnacentral:rRNA from 1 species
CCUACGGGUGGCAGCAGUGAGGAAUAUUGGUCAAUGGACGAGAGUCUGAACCAGCCAAGCCGCGUGAAGGAUGACUGCCCUAUGGGUUGUAAACUUCUUUUAUAUGGGAAUAAAAUGUUCCACGUAUGGGUUUUUGUAUGUACCAUAUGAAUAAGAAUCGUCUAACUCCGUGCCAGCAGCCGCGGUAAUACGGAGGAUCCGAGCGUUAUCCGGAUGUAUUGGGUUUAAAGGGAGCGUAGGGGGAUUGUUAAGUCAGUUGUGAAAGUUUGGGGCUCAACCCGAGAACUGCAGUUGAAACUGGCAGUCUUGAGUACAGUAGAGGUGGGUGGAAUGCGUGGUGUAGCGGUGAAAUGCUUAGAUAUCACGAAGAACUCCGAUUGCGAAGGCAGCUCACUGGACUGCAACUGACACUGAGGCUCGAAAGUGUGGGUAUCAAACAGGAUUAGAUACCCCUGUAGUC